rnacentral:snoRNA from 1 species
GGUGCACAUGAUGUGUAACAGCGAUCAAAGUAUGAGCUCUGUGAUUCCAGCCUUUCAAUCACUGAUGCACC